rnacentral:ribozyme from 1 species
UGGAAAAAUGGGGGUGAGGUUGGAUAUUUUUUUUUUGUUUUUUUUUUUCUUUUUUUUUUUCUUUUUUCCU